GUUUUAGACGGAAGCCUGCAGGGUUUAGGCAUCUAGCUGUUAACUAGAGUUUUGUGGGAUCGAGGCCCACCUG
rnacentral:tRNA from 1 species